AUUGAACGCUGGCGGCAGGCCUAACACAUGUAAGUCGAGCGGAGCGGCGGACGGGUGAGUAAUGCCUAGGAAUCUGCCUGGUAGUGGGGGAUAACGUCCGGAAACGGGCGCUCAUACCGCAUACUAUCAGAUGAGCCUAGGUCGGAUUGGCUAGUUGGUGGGGUAAAGGCCUACCAAGGCGACGAUCCGUAACUGGUCUGAGAGGAUGAUCAGUCACACUGGAACUGAGACACUGUCCAGACUCCUACGGGAGGCAGCAGUGGGGAAUAUUGGACAAUGGGCGAAAGCCUGAUCCAGCCAUGCCGCGUGUGUGAAGAAGGUCUUCGGAUUGUUAAGCACUUUAAGUUGGGAGGCGUUACCCGCAGAAGAAGCACCGGCUAACUUCGUGCCAGCAGCCGCGGUAAUUC
rnacentral:rRNA from 1 species